AACAUUGUAAACAUGUAUCACAUUCAUGGUUUAUGCCUAUUGAUAUAAAAUAUCGGUGUGAUUUUUUUCACCAGUUUCAGAAAUCCCUAAGACAGAUUCAAAACCGAAGCGGAAUGAAAACAGACUUAAAGUUUCAGAAAUCUCUAAGGCCAAUUUAAAACCUAAGCGGAAUGAACACAAACUUAAAGGUUGUGACAAAGGAGCACGUGGAAACUGCAAAAACACUGGAAGAAAGAAGGGAAACGUUCAGAGCUGUCGCUGUGAUUUACCCUGCAUAAAACUUGAUGACUGUUGUCACGACUUCAUUGAAACAUGCGGAGAAAUACUGACUGGUAACGGUAGCGAUGUAUUGACCACUGGUUUGCUGAAACCUCGACUUACAACUCAGAAAGAAGUCAGAGAUCCGUCAAGGACUCAAUUUUUCACUACUCAUCCUGUAACUAUCAAAAUGAUUCCAGGGCCUUCACUCUCCACUACAGAGAUUACAAUGAAGUCGACAUUGAAAGUAGCUUUAGAUACAACUUACCC